GCCCAGAUGGUGGAAUCGGUAGACACGAGGGACUUAAACUCCCUUGGCCAAUUGCGGUCGUGCGGGUUCAAGUCCCGCUCUGGGUACCA
rnacentral:tRNA from 2 species